rnacentral:rRNA from 2 species
GACGAACCGUGCGAACGUUGUUCGGAAUCACUGGGCUUAAAGGGCGCGUAGGCGGGCUAUCAAGUCCGGGGUGAAAUCCUCCCGCUCAACGGGAGAACGGCCUCGGAUACUGAUGGUCUCGAGGGGGAUAGGGGCACGCGGAACUGUGGGUGGAGCGGUGAAAUGCGUUGAUAUCCAUAGGAACUCCGGUGGCGAAAGCGGCGUGCUGGAUCCCUUCUGACGCUGAGGCGCGAAAGCCAGGGGAGCAAACGGG